AAACUCAAAUGAAUUGACGGGGGCCCGCACAAGCGGUGGAGCAUGUGGUUUAAUUCGAUGCAACGCGAAGAACCUUACCUACUCUUGACAUCCAGAGAAGCCAGCGGAGACGCAGGUGUGCCUUCGGGAGCUCUGAGACAGGUGCUGCAUGGCUGUCGUCAGCUCGUGUUGUGAAAUGUUGGGUUAAGUCCCGCAACGAGCGCAACCCUUAUCCUUGUUUGCCAGCGAGUAAUGUCGGGAACUCCAGGGAGACUGCCGGUGAUAAACCGGAGGAAGGUGGGGACGACGUCAAGUCAUCAUGGCCCUUACGAGUAGGGCUACACACGUGCUACAAUGGCGCAUACAGAGGGCAGCAAGCUAGCGAUAGUGAGCGAAUCCCAAAAAGUGCGUCGUAGUCCGGAUUGGAGUCUGCAACUCGACUCCAUGAAGUCGGAAUCGCUAGUAAUCGUAGAUCAGAAUGCUACGGUGAAUACGUUCCCGGGCCUUGUACACACCGCCCGUCACACCAUGGGAGUGGGCUGCAAAAGAAGUGGGUAGUUUAACCUUUUCGGGGAGGACGCUC
rnacentral:rRNA from 1 species